rnacentral:tRNA from 1 species
UAAAAAGUAAGCUAAGUAAAGCUUUAUAGCUCAUAACUCUAAUAUGGUUGUAGUAUAUUUGCCCUUUUUAU